rnacentral:rRNA from 1 species
UGGCUCAGAACGAACGCUGGCGGCGCGCCUAAUACAUGCAAGUCGAGCGAGAAGGUGUAGCAAUACACUUGUAAAGCGGCAAACGGGUGAGGAAUGCAUGGGUAACCUACCCUCGAGUGGGGAAUAACUAGCCGAAAGGUUAGCUAAUACCGCAUACGUUUCCGGAACUUCGGUUUCGGAAAGAAAGCAAUACCGUGGGUAUUGCGCUCCUGGAUGGGCUCAUGUCCUAUCAGCUUGUUGGUGAGGUAACGGCUCACCCAAGGCUUCGACGGGUAGCUGGUCUGAGAGGACGAUCAGCCACACUGGCACUGCGACACGGGCCAGACUCCUACGGGAGGCAGCAGUAAGGAAUAUUGCGCAAUGGACGAAAGUCUGACGCAGCGACGCCGCGUGGGGGAUGAAGGUCUUCGGAUUGUAAACCCCUUUCGGGAGGGAAGAUGGAGUGGGUAACCACUUGGACGGUACCUCCAGAAGCAGCCACGGCUAACUUCGUG